rnacentral:piRNA from 1 species
UCAUGAGCGAAUUUAGGCAGC